rnacentral:rRNA from 1 species
GAGGCCCAGCUUGCUGGGUGGAUUAGUGGCGAACGGGUGAGUAACACGUGAGCAACCUGCCCCUGACUCUGGGAUAACAGCCGGAAACGGUUGCUAAUACCGGAUAUGCAUCAUGGCCGCAUGGUCUGUGGUGGGAAAGAUUUUUCGGUUGGGGAUGGGCUCGCGGCCUAUCAGCUUGUUGGUGAGGUAGUGGCUCACCAAGGCGUCGACGGGUAGCCGGCCUGAGAGGGUGACCGGCCACACUGGGACUGAGACACGGCCCAGACUCCUACGGGAGGCAGCAGUGGGGAAUAUUGCACAAUGGGCGGAAGCCUGAUGCAGCAACGCCGCGUGAGGGAUGACGGCCUUCGGGUUGUAAACCUCUUUUAGCAGGGAAGAAGCGAAAGUGACGGUACCUGCAGAAAAAGCGCCGGCUAACUACGUGCCAGCAGCCGCGGUAAUACGUAGGGCGCAAGCGUUAUCCGGAAUUAUUGGGCGUAAAGAGCUCGUAGGCGGUUUGUCGCGUCUGCUGUGAAAACCCGAGGCUCAACCUCGGGCCUGCAGUGGGUACGGGCAGACUAGAGUGCGGUAGGGGAGAUUGGAAUUCCUGGUGUAGCGGUGGAAUGCGCAGAUAUCAGGAGGAACACCGAUGGCGAAGGCAGAUCUCUGGGCCGUUACUGACGCUGAGGAGCGAAAGGGUGGGGAGCAAACAGGCUUAGAUACCCUGGUAGUCCACCCCGUAAACGUUGGGAACUAGUUGUGGGGGCCUUUCCACGGUCUCCGUGACGCAGCUAACGCAUUAAGUUCCCCGCCUGGGGAGUACGGCCGCA